GGUGAACGCUGGCGGCGUGCUUGACACAUGCAAGUCGAACGGUAUGUGGCAACACAUAGAGUGGCGAACGGGUGAGUAACACGUGGGAACGUAUCUUUUGCAGGGGGAUAACUGACCGAAAGGACAGCUAAUACCGCAUAAGUCCGGGAGGAGAAAGGUGCAACAGCAUCGGCAGAAGAGCGGCCCGCGGUCCAUCAGCUAGUUGGUGAGGUAAGGGCUUACCAAGGCGACGACGGAUAGCCGGCGUGAGAGCGUGGCCGGCCACAAGGACACUGAGAUACGGGUCCUACUCCUACGGGAGGCAGCAGUGCGGAAUUUUAGAUAAUGGAGGGAACUCUGAUCUAGCGACGCCGCGUGCAGGAAGAAGGUCUUCGGAUUGUAAACUGCUGUGGUAAGGGAAAAUGCUAUGUAGAGUGGAAAGCUACAUAGAGGGAUGGUACCUUACUAGAAAGCCCCGGCUAACUACGUG
rnacentral:rRNA from 1 species